UAGGGAAUCUUCGGCAAUGGACGAAAGUCUGACCGAGCAACGCCGCGUGAGUGAAGAAGGUUUUCGGAUCGUAAAACUCUGUUGUUAGAGAAGAACAAGGACGUUAGUAACUGAACGUCCCCUGACGGUAUCUAACCAGAAAGCCACGGCUAACUACGUGCCAGCAGCCGCGGUAAUACGUAGGUGGCAAGCGUUGUCCGGAUUUAUUGGGCGUAAAGCGAGCGCAGGCGGUUUCUUAAGUCUGAUGUGAAAGCCCCCGGCUCAACCGGGGAGGGUCAUUGGAAACUGGGAGACUUGAGUGCAGAAGAGGAGAGUGGAAUUCCAUGUGUAGCGGUGAAAUGCGUAGAUAUAUGGGGGAACACCAGUGGCGAAGGCGGCCCCCUGGACGAAGACUGACGCUCAGGUGCGAAAGCGUGGGGAGCAAACAGG
rnacentral:rRNA from 1 species